UGACGUCUUCGGGGCGGGGCCUGGGCGGCCCCGUGCAAUUCCCCACCGGCGGUAUGGCCUGCAAUGGGCCGAGCCCGCGAGCGCCUGCGCAAGCAGGGUCAGCAGACCUGGUGAGAAGCCAGGGCCGACGGUAUAGUCCGGAUGAAAGAAGAUGUGC
rnacentral:ncRNA from 2 species